UGGCCAAAAUAUUUAGGUUUUGACUUAAGUUGUAAACCUAAAUACCAAAUCUAACAUUUUUUUUUUCUCAUUUCGUAAAGAACCGAGAAAAAAAACUGUUGGUCUCCUCCCUUAAUCUCAUCUUCUCUCUUUGUCUCUAGAUUUCCUCUUGCUUCUUUGUAAGCAUUUCCUUCACCUAAAAGACGAGUUGGAUUUAGUAGAACAGUAGCAUCUGUUGGGAAACAGUUUCAAUCAAAAAUUUCAAGCUCCUGGCGGUGGCGGCUGUGGGUCGCGUCCCUCUUCUCAGUCGCAGAUCCGAAGCAGUGGUGGCGGUGGUCGUUCGCUUCCCUACAUAGAUGCCGUCUGUUCUGCUUCCUCCGGUUCAAUUCGCGACGGUGAAUGGAUCAUUGUCUACAUCGACACCGCCUAUUCUAGUUAAGUUGUGUUCGUUUUCUUUGUCUCGAAUCCGUGGUUAGAGGAUUUUCACCUAUCUUUAUAGACAUAACUGAAGAAUUCAAACAAUUCACAAUUGGAUUGAUUAAAUUCUUCAGUUAUCAAGAAUUAAGGUGAUCAGUUUAAGGGAAGAGACCAAAGAUUGAUAUCAGCCCUAGGGAGUUGAAGAGUCUUUUGCUUAAGCGGUGAGUAUGAUAUCAUACCAUACCAUAUGUUUGUCUUUCCUCUAUACUCUCAUUGGAUUUGCAGGAUAGGUUGUACUCAAAUUUGUGAUAGAAAGGAGUUAUAGCUCCCAUCUAUCAAUUUCUUUGGAUGUAGGGAUCAAUGUAGUGGAGGAAAAGAGUCACACCAAUGGCUUCAGAGCAUCCUGAGGUUAAUGUGAAUCAAAUGCAGUGCUUCUAGGAGCCAUUGCAGGGUACCAAUGAGAUAACAAUGAAAAGCAUCUGAGACAUGAGAAGGGGUUACUUCAGUUCAGCUUCGUGCAGGUCUCAAAGUCUUUGGAAAUAUGUGAUCUGCUAUAGUUUUGCCACAGGUAACCAUCCUCAGCCUAAUCUCAAAAAAUUCAGUUAAGGUAAGGGAGCUCUUGAUACAGUUAUUAACCCUCCUCUGCAGAAACUUGAGAUUUCUGAAAAGUUAAUAACCCUCUGCAGAAACUUGAAUUUUCUGAAAAAACUCAGUUCAUUAAAUUGCUUGUUUCCAUGACGCAAACAAAUCUCGGCUGUCUACAAUUGGAAAAGAGGUUUGAUUUGGGUUCCAAUGAAAUCAUUUUCCAUAGAGUCUGUGUGAGGAUUAGGAAUCCAGGUGCCGUUGUUUCAAACUUUAAGAGUAAAACCCAAAAUAUAUUUCAAAAACUUUGCGUAUGCAAUAUGAAUAUGUGUUUUAAAAUG